AAGUCGUAACAAGGUUUCCGUAGGUGAACCUGCGGAAGGAUCAUUAUUGAAUAAACCUGAUGGGUUGCUGCUGGUUCUCUAGGGAACAUGUGCACACUUGUCAUUUUUAUAUCUUCACCUGUGCACCUUUUGUAGAUCUGAAUAUCUUUCUGAGUGCCCUAGCAUUCAGGUUUGAGGAUUGACUUUUGUUGUCUUUCCUUACAUUUUCAGGUCUAUGUUUCUUCAUAUACCCCAAUGUAUGUUACAGAAUGUAGUCAAUAGGUGUUUGUGCCUAUAAACUUAUACAACUUUCAGCAACGGAUCUCUUGGCUCUC
rnacentral:misc_RNA from 1 species